CACUCCUACGGGAGGCAGCAGUGGGGAAUUUUGGACAAUGGGCGAAAGCCUGAUCCAGCAAUGCCGCGUGAGUGAAGAAGGCCUUCGGGUUGUAAAGCUCUUUUGUCAGGGAAGAAACGGUGAGAGCUAAUAUCUCUUGCUAAUGACGGUACCUGAAGAAUAAGCACCGGCUAACUACGUGCCAGCAGCCGCGGUAAUACGUAGGGUGCAAGCGUUAAUCGGAAUUACUGGGCGUAAAGCGUGCGCAGGCGGUUUUGUAAGUCUGAUGUGAAAUCCCCGGGCUCAACCUGGGAAUUGCAUUGGAGACUGCAAGGCUAGAAUCUGGCAGAGGGGGGUAGAAUUCCACGUGUAGCAGUGAAAUGCGUAGAUAUGUGGAGGAACACCGAUGGCGAAGGCAGCCCCCUGGGUCAAGAUUGACGCUCAUGCACGAAAGCGUGGGGAGCAAACAGGAUUAGAAACCCGAGUAGUCCCAU
rnacentral:rRNA from 1 species